rnacentral:rRNA from 1 species
AGUGAACGCUGGCGGUAGGCCUAACACAUGCAAGUCGAACGGCAGCACAGUAAGAGCUUGGUCUUCCGGGUGGCGAGUGGCGGACGGGUGAGGAAUAUAACGGGAUCUACUUUUUCGUGGGGGUUCACGAAGGGAAAGCUACGCCCAUAUCGCAUACGAUCUACGGGUGAAAGCAGGGGAUCUUCGGACCUUGCGGGGUUGAAUGAGCGGAUGUCGGAUUAGCUAGUUGGCGGGGUAAUGGCCCAGCAAGGCGCCGAUCCGUAGCUGGUCUGAGAGGCGGGUCGGCGACACUGGAGGUGAGACACGGUCCAGACUCCUGCGAGAGGCAGCAGUGUGGAAUGGUGGACAAUGGGCGGGAGCCUGAUACAGCCAUACCGCGUGUGUGGAGAAGGCCUUCGGGUUGUGAAGACCGUUUUUGGGUAGAGAAAAGCAGCAGGUUGUGACGCCGCUGGACUGACGGUACUGAAUGAAGAAGCACCGGCUAACUACGUG